rnacentral:misc_RNA from 1 species
AUUUUCUAAAAUUUCUUACCUUUCCAAUAAUAUGUUAAUUAGAAAUAUUUAUUAUAUAUUAAAUACUCUCAAACCCAAGGAAUACUUACCCUUACCCACUCACAUAGAAAAGGACAAGUUACUACACGUGUACAUCUCUCUAUUAGUAUAGAAAAAGGAAAAAAAAAAAUACACACUCAAUCAAAACAGCUCAAUAUUUUUGCCCAUGAUUUCUGCUCCUUCUGGUUUUGGGAUUCUUUUCUGGUUUUGGGCGUCGUUGCUUCUUCUGGGCAGAAUCAGAUGGAGAGCACGCCAGUUUUAGCGAUCCAGAUCACGUUUCAAGGCGACUUAGAACACCGAAGAACCACGUUCUUGGACGCGCGAUCAGAUCGUCAUUCGUAAGGGGGAUGCGCGAAUUAGGCAACUAUGGUAUUGACUAAUGGGCCAAGUGAGUACUAGUUGCAAGGUAGAGAAAGUCCUUACCUCAGGAGAAAGAUUGCCAACAUAAACGGUGGUAUACUGAAGAUCGUUCUCUGGUGCAUCAUCAUUAUUUUCUUGACCGUCUUCUGCAUUGAGCAAAAGCAUUAUGUAAGCCUAGCAUGUAAAGAAGAUAAGCAAAAAAAGACAUGUAAUUGCGACCAAUGGAAGAAUAUGUUAACAGAUAUGGAUAUACAACCAAAUCUAAAAACACAAGCAUCUGCCUUAUGUCAUUUAGAUGACAUGUUGCAUAUUGCACAUUACAAGGGAACACUUUUUUUUUUUUUUUUAA